GAAUUCACCAGGCUUGUGUUAAAGGACCUGAGAAAGUCCUUUUUUGAAGGCCUAGAUGGUCAUCUCUCGAAGUUGAUGCAGUUAUUCAGGUCAAAACAUUCCAGAAAUGACUUCAAUACUGGAGAGCCUUAAUAAGGAUACAACAAACUAAAGGAUGAGGACAGCAGCAUUGCUGGGCCUGCCGUGGUACAUGCGAGAGACUCCUUCAAAAUUCAUGAAGAUAUGCAAGCCCAGUGAGCAUGAAGAGGAUUUGAUCAAGGGUGUGGUGAUUGGAAUCCUAAUGGUUGUGGGAAAUGUGAUGGAACCUCUCCCAGCGAUAUAC